UACGCGAGUGUCCGUCGGGCGAGGGUGUUAGGUAGCGGUGGGUGGGUACUGAGGGAGUGGGACCGAUCCCAAGGAUCGGGGAGCAGGAGUCGGCGGCGACGUACAAGGAGCGACCGGAGCGGGCCCGCGGAGGGCCUGGAGCGGCCCUCUUCGGUCGGUCGCGGCAAGGCUGGAGGAGGAAUUCGGGAGCGGGGGUAGGAGGAUGAGUUCUGCAGUGGCAGCGGAGGGAGCGGGCGCCGGUACUACUGGCUAGACCGCCACCGCGGCGUCUAGUGGGAGACCAGGUACCGGAGCUGCCGCUGCUGCAUAGGGCGCGGGCGCAAGAAGGAGGGGGUAGAGUAGAGGAGAGGCCAGCGACGUCUCCUCGAGGCAAAGCGCGGCGGUGGUACCAACGGACGUCGCUCGUCGUCUCCUGGAUCGGCGGCGCAGGCUGGCGUUGGCGGCGGACUUUGGGAUCGGGGAGGAAGGUUGACGUCCAGUUCGGUCGUCCUAGGGGAGGUUCUUCUCGUAAACUACGCGGGCUGAGCAGAGACGAACAAGUGUUGUUCCUUCCGGUACCUGGCGCCUGGACGAGCUGGACGAGCUGGAGGAGGAGUGCGGCGGAGCCGGAGGGCCGGGAACAGCGGCAACCAGCGGGAGGUGCCCAAGACUGCACGGCAGCGGUUGGCGAUCUCUACGGUGGAGGAGUUGCGUGCUAUAUUGGUGUAAAUGCACGUUAUACGUUGUCAACAAAAGAGACGAAGUCAUAAAAACACAGAGACCGUUUCAAUUAGUAGCAUAAGUACAGUAAAUAAAUCCUCCCUAGGGUUAAUGACUGACGUAGUCCGCUGGUUAGACAUUUCUAUACCUCGCACCUCUUAUUCUUUACGGAACCACACGACAGUCCCGUGUGAUCUUCACACUUCAGUGACUGUACGGUAAGAAGUUUAGGACUAGAAUAAUAAAGACCAAGUUCUCUGCCAAGAAAACGUGAAACCCUAGAUUCUACACUGGGGGUUUGGGGUUUACCAGUACCACUUCGUACUGAGUACAUACAAUAGAUUACCGAUGACGUUAGAUUUACGAGGAAAAUUAACGUCAGUAGUUUAUAAGCAUCGUUAUAUCGUAGAAAUUGACUUAAGCAUCGUUAUAUCGUAGAAAUGUACAAUCUAGAAGACGAAAACAGUUUCUUCGCGUGUCAGGGUGAGCUUCCUUAGCCUAUUCCAGAACUCGUUUCCCUCGAAGCUGCUCGUAGUGUAGUCAAGACAUAGACUUUCUACUGGAGGUAACGCGGAAGACCUCACGCUCGAUAACCACAAGCAGCACAAUCCUUCUACCCACAUAUUGAGCACCUAGAACCCCUGUUCGCCUACCUAGAACCCAGAACCCCUGUUCGUCUACCACAAGCAGCACAAUCCUUCUACCCACAUAUUGAGUACCUCACGCUCGACAACGCACCGCUGCGAGCUGACGUAAGCAACUAGACUGACAGACAGUAGCACGUCUACAGCUUAACAACUACCUCCGAAGUCCAGCAGGAAGAGUUCCUCUACUCCGACCGGUAAUUCCUAGACCCCACUUCCAGUACAGUAGAGAAGAGCACCGAGAUGACGGGUGACGAAGGUGACGACUAUAAAACUCGAGAAACUAGUCUCGUUCGUGGUACCCUUCCUUUCUACAACCCCCGCACUUGACAGGGCUGUUGCUGUGACAACGGACGACUGAUACACGUCCUGAUGGAUCGAGCUGGAGAUAGAGUUACAGUCUUUUAAUCCUUGGUCUUCCCUUUUACCUUCCGCGGAAACUACCUGUAAGUCGGGCCUCAUGUUCCUACUAGGGAUGUAGAUAUGAAAACUAUACGACUUCGUGUAACCGUAAUCCGGUUCCGUCUACAUCCCGUCGCCACCGCCCACGUAUACAUCCCUUCGUCGUCGUCACGCCACCACCGCCCAUGUCCGCGUCGCGCUGCUGGACACCCGCGUGGCCGAGAUCCUACUGGUCCCCGAACCAUCGACCCAGGCUAUAGGGACACCACCUGUCUCUACUACCGCAUACCUUCACCGGCCACCACCCGUCCCUUGUUACACCGGGGCAGCAGCAGGAGAAGCAAGUCGAACUGUACUGGCAGCAAGUCGACUUCUGUUAUAAUGUACCCCUGCUAAUUUUGACCCCGUACUUACGUGUUAUGUAUACACUACACUAAAAAGAUUUACCUUAAUUAAAACAUAUCGAACGUAGGGAAAGAAGACAAUCAUCAAACAUUUAUUGUACUUAGGUCAAAACAUGUAUUCGUUCACCAUCGGUUCACCAGACCAAUAUGUAGACACUUCUUGGACGAACUUACGUAUACCGGACCUACGGAUCCACAUGAAGUGGGAUUGAAGUGGGGUUUAGACCUCUUGAGUGCAUGGGUUUAAAGGUAGUACGGUACUUACAAUCUACGGAUAUUACGAAACCCUCGACCCACCUCUACACAAAGUACUAAACAAAAAAAGAAAAGACAUUCCGUCUAGAACAUUCAAUAAGACAGAAAGUUGGACACGCAUCGUAAAACUACAUUCACCAGACCAAGAGAGUUAGAUACACAUCGCGCAACACAAACAUGAAGUUCGACCGUCUCAUGUCUAGUAAAAGUACCAGGUUUAAUGAUCGUAGUUAGCUUAGUACCAAUCAGUAAGGUCAAAAUCGUAGAGCCACGGAUUAAUGUGAGAUUAUAAUAAAUGAAAUAGUAUAUACUACUAAUUAUAAAGGAAUUAAAAAAACAUCCUGUGUUCUACCUGUUCAUGUGCGGGUCUAAAAACCCUAAUUAUUGUGGCCUGUGGUCUGAGAUUUGUACCCAGUUCGACCUCGCUGAGUUCUACGUCGAACUGAAGACCAUGUGAUAUACUCACUAAGUUCUGCGGGAGCUACGGUGCCUGUGACUUACAACACUGCAGUUAAACCUUCGGUGCCCUACCUAGGGAAAGUCUCGCUAGAUCUGCGGGAGCUACGGAGCUGUUGAAGUGCCCGCAGACUUCACAUUUGACUGUAGUAUGAAUAUUGACCAGUCAAAUCGCUAUUUGGGAUGUAAAAUCAAAAAACGAUCCACAGGAUAUACGUGAAAAUUAAAAAAUAUCCACACCUAUUGAAGAACUUUCGAUUUAGACGGGUAUAACAUACACUAAAAGGCACUCCGUCUGAUUUAACCGUAGAACUCCUAAGUACGAAGUACAUAGUAUGUUCACUAGGUAAGUAUCGAAGUAGACAACGCGAGAAUGUAUAACAUAAGACGAUAUCCCAUAUUUAUCAUGAGAAGGAACCUCAACUUAGGUACAUAGUACUAAAAACCAGCUAUGUCAGGAUAUCAAGGGGUGUUCUUUUCCUGAAACCAACACCGAUUGACCCAAGAGAGACGGAGAGUGUUCAAAACAAAUAAUGAUAUGAUGAUAAUAAAUCAAUCUAUUGAACCUGACAGAUUAUCCUCAAGAAUGAGUGACGAUCUCUACGAUUGACUAAGAGAGGCCGAGAGUGUUCAAACAGGAACACAAUAGAGAAUAAGUCCCAUUUUUAUUACGGGUCUUGUUUCUUUGAUACAUAACAUGAUACGAGUAAUAACAUUAAUUUCUAAUAGAAGUUUUAACUAGUAGUGGACCCUACGAUGGUUGAACGUCCCAACUACUGUGUAAUUUAACGGUAUAAAGUAAAGGGAGAAGAAGUGUACAAUGUUUAUAUAGAAAUUGUUAUCUCAAAUUAUAAACACAAAAGUGUCUAUCCUCUGUCCAUUCUAGUCAGUGGUCACUACCUCAGUACUCCAACAACUGCAGCACGAUUUACAACCACAUCCCGGUUUCCUCUUCUAUACCACGUUUUAAGAACUCGAACUGUAAUACCAUGUUAUAUUUAAACUCAUAAGAACGGAUAGUAUCGUCAGAUAUCGGAUAUAGUGUAACGUUUUAAGGUACUUGUUAACCAGGUGUAAUAAACAAACAAGAUAACAAGUACGGGUUCGUACCUACGUCCACCUACACCCGCGGUCCCGGCGGUGGUUCCUACAUCCCCAGCGCGGUGUUGCCCGCUCCUACGUAACCCGUACGGCUUUGACUGCUCCUGUGCACUCGGCGUGAGGUCGGAAUCACAAAAAGGAUUAAAGAAAUCCAUGCGCUCCAACUAAAUUAUAAGUGUACAUACGACUUUAAUACUGUGGUUUCUUGGUCGUUACCUCAAUAUACUUUAAAGAGGGCUCUCGAUAUGAUAGUAAGAAAAAUCAUAACUGAUUAAGGGUACUCAACGGGGUUUUAACAUUUAUACUUAAACCUACUAAGUAACCAGGAGUAAUUUUAUCGUCGUACUUUAUUGGG
rnacentral:rRNA from 1 species